UUUAUAUAGUUUAUAUACUAGUUUGGUGUAUGUGUCGGUAUAUGGAUGAUGGAUGUUUAUAUUGUUGUGUAUGUGUGUUGGGAUAAAGUAGGUAUAAAACAGGUACAGUUUUUUGGGAAAUCUACAAAAUAAGAAAAUUCUGGUUUCCUGGUUUUUUUACAUUAGCGACCGCAUGCGGUCGCUAAUAAUUACUAGCGACUGCUAAUCAUAUGAGGGUAUUAACGACCACACGCGGUCGCUGCCACGUGGCCCACGUAAGCUUUUGGCCCU
rnacentral:lncRNA from 1 species